rnacentral:misc_RNA from 1 species
GAUGAAGAACGUAGCGAAAUGCGAUAAGUAAUGUGAAUUGCAGAAUUCAGUGAAUCAUCGAAUCUUUGAACGCACAUUGCGCCCGCCAGUAUUCUGGCGGGCAUGCCUGUUCGAGCGUCAUUUCAACCAUCAAGCCCCCCCGGCUUGUGUUGGGGACCUGCGGCUACCGCAGGCCCUGAAAAGCAGUGGCGGGCUCGCUGUCACACCGAGCGUAGUAGAUCUCAUCUCGCUCAGGGCGUGCUGCGGGUUCCGGCCGUUAAACCACCUUCAUAACCCAAGGUUGACCUCGGAUCAGGUAGGAAGACCCGCUGAACUUAAGCAUAUCAAUAAGCGGAGGA